AAGACUGUGCUUCAUAUUUGUUUUUAAUAUAUCCAUAACUAUGUUUAACUUAUAUAACGUCAGUUCUGGUGCUUUGGAAUCUAUUAACCCCGUAAAAGAACACCUUCAGUGUAAACGUAAAACGAAGAGUCAUCAUUCCAGACCAAAGAAACGGUCAGAUCCCGCCAGGAAACAUGUGGCAAUCAUGAUGAUUUACAACGAAACGUUCACUAAAAUGACCCUCGGUGGCUUAGCGGCAAGUAUGGGGGCUUAUAACACUAAAAAUCGGGUUUCGAUACCCGCGAUCAUAUCAUGUUUUUGGAGUAAUUACCAUUGUCUUGUACCUCUAGCUCACUGAAGAUGGAAUUCUGAAGAUUUGAAACGUCUAAUAAAUACUUUAU